rnacentral:rRNA from 1 species
GACGAACGCUGGCGGCGUGCUUAACACAUGCAAGUCGAACGGGAUCCGGGCUUUCGGGUUUGGUGAGAGUGGCGAACGGGUGAGUAACACGUGAGUAACCUGCCCCCUUCUUUGGGAUAACGUCGGGAAAUCGGCGCUAAUACUGGAUAUUCUUGCUGCAUCGCAUGGUGUGGUUUGGAAAGGGUUUCUGGUGGGGGAUGGGCUCGCGGGCUAUCAGCUUGUUGGUGGGGUGAUGGCCUACCAAGGCUUUGACGGGUAGCCGGCCUGGGAGGGUGUCCGGCCGCACGGGGACUGAGACACGGCCCAGACGUCUACGGGAGGCAGCAGUGGGGAAUAUUGCACAAUGGGCGCAAGCCUGAUGCAGCGACGCCGCGUGAGGGAUGACGGCCUUCGGGUUGUAAACCUCUUUCAGUAUGGAACAAGGAUCCUUCUUUUGGGGGGUUUGAGGGUACGUGCAGAAGAAGCGCCGGCUAACUACGUG